rnacentral:siRNA from 1 species
UGCCACGUGUCAGGUCAAACGAUC